AUUGAACGCUGGCGGCAGGCCUAACGCAUGCAAGUCGAGCGGCAGCGGAAAGUAGCUUGCUACUUUGCCGGCGAGCGGCGGACGGGUGAGUAAUGUCUGGGAAACUGCCUGAUGGAGGGGGAUAACUACUGGAAACGGUAGCUAAUACCGCAUGACCUCGCAAGAGCAAAGUGGGGGACCUUCGGGCCUCACGCCAUCGGAUGUGCCCAGAUGGGAUUAGCUAGUAGGUGGGGUAAUGGCUCACCUAGGCGACGAUCCCUAGCUGGUCUGAGAGGAUGACCAGCCACACUGGAACUGAGACACGGUCCAGACUCCUACGGGAGGCAGCAGUGGGGAAUAUUGCACAAUGGGCGCAAGCCUGAUGCAGCCAUGCCGCGUGUGUGAAGAAGGCCUUCGGGUUGUAAAGCACUUUUCAGCGAGGAGGAAGGGGUUGAGUUUAAAACGCUCAAUCUUGUGACGUUACUCGCAAAAGAACCACCGGCUAAUCCCGUGCCAGCAGCCGCGGAAAUACGGAGGUGUGCAACCUUUACUCGAAUUACUGGGCGUAAAGCGCACCCGGGCGGUUUUUAAUCCAAAUGUGAAAUCCCCCGCGCUUAACGUGGAAACUGUUUUUAAAUUGGCAAGCUAGAGUCUUGUAAAGGGGGGUAUAAUUCCGGUGUCCCGGUAAAUGCUAUAGAUCUGGAGGAAACCGGUGGUCAAAGUGGCCCCCUGGACAAAACAGAUCCUCAGGGGCAUAGGGGGGGGGACAAAACAGGAUUAAUUCCCUGGUAGUCCAAGGGCGAAUUCCACAUUGGCUGCACCCCGGGGGAUCCACUAUUUUUAGAGAGGCCGCACCGCGGGGAGCUCUAAUUCCCCCUAUAGUGAGUCGUAUUACGCGCGCUCACUGUCGUUUUUUUAAAAAGU
rnacentral:rRNA from 1 species